rnacentral:rRNA from 1 species
GACGAACGCUGGCGGCGUGCCUAAUACAUGCAAGUUGAGCGCUGAAGGUUGGUACUUGUACCAACUGGAUGAGCAGCGAACGGGUGAGUAACGCGUGGGGAAUCUGCCUUUGAGCGGGGGACAACAUUUGGAAACGAAUGCUAAUACCGCAUAAAAACUUUAAACACAAGUUUUAAGUUUGAAAGAUGCAAUUGCAUCACUCAAAGAUGAUCCCGCGUUGUAUUAGCUAGUUGGUGAGGUAAAGGCUCACCAAGGCGAUGAUACAUAGCCGGCCUGAGAGGGUGAUCGGACAAAUUUGGACUGAGACACGGCCCAAACCCCUACGGGAGGCAGCAGUAGGGAAUCUUCGGCCAUGGACGAAAGUCUGAACGAGCAACGCCGCGUGAGUGAAGAAGGGUUUCGGAUCGUAAAACUCUGUUGGUAGAGAAGAACGUUGGUGAGAGUGGAAAGCUCAUCAAGUGACGGUAACUAACCAGAAAGGGACGGCUAACUACGUG